rnacentral:tRNA from 1 species
CAACCAGUAGUUUAAUUUAGAAUCCUA